GUGAUAUUAAGCAAAACCCAAAAAAGACAGUCUCAGUUCGGAUUGAAGGCUGAAAUUGCCUUCAUGAAGCCCGGAAUUGCUAGUAAUGGCAGGUCAGCAUACUGCCGUGAAUACGUUCCCGGGCCUUGUACACACCGCCCGUCACACCAUGAGAGUUGGGGAUACCCGAAGCCUGUGAGCUAACAGUAAUGAAGCAGCAGUCGAAGGUAGAAUCAAUGAUUGGGGUGAAGUCGUAACAAGGUACC
rnacentral:rRNA from 1 species